GUGCUAUAUUAGUUACCUGCAGGAUGACUGGCUGGAUUUUCUACCCACGGCGGAGUUUGCCUAUAACAAUGCCCAACACUGCUCCACUUCUCUGAGCCCAUUUUUUUGCCAAUUAUGGUUACCAUCCAACCUUUCUAGUGAGUCUCCCAAUUACUACUCCCAUUCCUGCAGUCACUGACCGGCUAACCGCCUUACGAGAUUCCCAAGAACUGUUGAAGGAGACUCUUUCGGAGGCUCAGGAAUGUUACAA